UUUAUCGGCGAAGGAAAGAAAACUGCCAACACAAACAACAUGACACACGUAUUUGAGGGAGUGUAUGUAAGUGGCAGUGGUGAUGUUUAUUUUCCUUCUAUUUUUUGACACUUUGACCAUGUAAUGUGGAUCCAUUUUGUUAAUGUUAUCUCUAACGAGUCACGGCCUUCUUCUCUACACUUUCUCUUGUGUUUUGUUUGCAGCCAUAAGCUACAUUUCUGGUUUGGAGCGGAAAAAACCACCAAUGGUGUUGUUUACCAUGGAUAACCGUUGCAAAGACUUAGUAUUAUUUGUCAAUGUCUUCUCCUGGAUGUUCAUUUUCAGUGGCCAUUUAUUGUUGGAUGUGAUGUAUGUAGCUGCAAGGCUAUCCUAUAGAUUUAUUUACCUGUGGAUGACACUCAUUAAAUGAAAAUUCGUCACGCCAUUUAAAUUCUUUAAAGAAGAAGUAUUGUUUUUGUCUGUGUAUUUAAUAUAUUAGAUAUUAGUAUUUAUUUAUUUUGUUUAACAUUUUUUAAAGAAAUGUUUUAAUAAAAAUAAAAAUCUUUGAACUAUUACUUUUUAGCAUUGCAUGAGAAAUUGUUUUAUUUAUUCGUUUUAAUUAUACCCCUAAAACAUUAUAACUAUCAUAUAAUUUUCUCUCUUAUAAUAAAAUUUAGAAUAAAUUACACUUAGAUUCUAUGAAAUAUUAUUUGAUGUUUUUUUAUUUUUUUCUAAAAUAACUCUUUUUACAUAUACAAUAUUAGUUAAUAGAUAUAUCUUAGUUGACAACACAUGCUGAAUAAUGAAUUCAUUUCAUUUUUAAAAAAAUUACAUAAAAAUAUGUUAACUGUGUAGAUUUUGUCCACCCCUAAUUUUGUGUAUUUGAUCCCUUACCCCUAAUUUUUUACCCUUUUCUAUUAAUUAUUAAUUUUAUUUUUUAAAUAAAUUACCCUAACUUAAGGUCCUAAAUCUGUAACUAUCAAGGGUCUAAUCAUGAUAGUACCAAAUAAAAAAAACUCGAGUUUUCAUAAACACUACAAAUAAUAAGUCUAAACUUAAAUAUAAAUUCAUGUAAAUGUCUCUUGGCUCCAGCACCAUUUGUCUCUCUAAUAUUCUAAGAGAGGAUAGGAAUAUUAUUGAACUCAAUUCUUGAGGAAUAAAGGUAUAAAAAGGAAAAAGCACAUGAGAUUUUAUUGGGUUAAAGUUAGCAUUUCAAUCUCCAUUUCAUCUAUCAAUUAUGGUUAGUUACCCACUUGUACAUGCCAUUAAAGGAUUGCAUCAUGCCUUCUUGCAUUAUGGUUGUAGUUACUUAACAAACUAAUAACGUUCACCUCUCACAAGUUCAAUGGGCAUUGCACUAUAGAAGCCUCUAUGCGGUACUCUUGAUUCUUUUUGUUCAAUAAAAACAAAACUUGCGACCUAAAGGGAGGAUUCAGGUGGAAUCUUGGGUGCAUGAUUUUGUUAAUGUUUUAUUAUGACACAACAAAGGUUCCCCCAGGUAGUCUUGCUUGAGACAAAGGAGCUUACCUAUUUUUGAUUGUUGUUCACACUUAAUUUGGGUGGUUUGGUCAUGCAUAUUGCGGUAGGGCUUUGAUAUGCUCCAUACCCUUUGCUUUUUUUAGUAAGAAUUUUGUUUAUGAUUUGGCUUUUUUAGUGCAAGGAUCCAUCUAUGAAUUUUCCUUUGUUAUUAUCCCCCAGUUGCUCUUUCUGAUUAGCUUUUUACAAGCCAUUGAAUCUAUAUCUAAUUUAAACCUCACUUCUUUUUUUAAUCAUAUAUUUUUUAUUAGUUGCAGGUUAGCGUUUUUUGCCUAAGCACUAGCCAAUCUCCAUGAAGGUGGACUUCCUCUUUACGACAACUAUGUUGUGUAAUGUUGAUUUUGUUAUUCCUUCUGAGGAUCAUGCAACCUAAUUCUCUUCUUUUAAGUUUGUGGUGGUCUUGUCUUCGAUAGGGG
rnacentral:lncRNA from 1 species